AUACAUUUCCUAGAGGAGACACCAUGAUCGAGAGGUUGCUUCAGUCAGGAUCAUUGAGGCCACGGCUGUGACAAUUUUGAUUUAAAUUUCCAAAUGUGGGAAUUUUGACUGCAUAAUUUUUGGUAGUGAUGGAAUGGGUUUGCACUCUCCUUUA
rnacentral:snRNA from 1 species